AGGUCCAAAAGACUCCAGUGCUGCUGUACAAACCUCUUUUGCUGCAGCCAAUGUCCCUCCUCUGCCUGUCUCACAAACAAACAAAUUUCGGUACAAGAUUAAAGACUGUCCUGUACAUUUACUCAAAGAACACUUUCCAUUUGUAAAAACCAUGGGAACGAGAAUAGCAAAAAAUGGGAAUAAAGAAACAAAGGUUCGCUGGCAGCCUUGCUCUGGCUGUGGAAUAAAGUGGAAGGACACAUGGGAGCCUUAUGAACUUUUUCAUUCGGAUGAAUAAAGUAAUGUUUUUUUUUUUUUCAAAAGCUUACUGCACUAAACCCUUAUGUAUAUUAACCAUUAAUAUUUUAUAUUGUUUUAUGUAUUUCUAUACAGAUAUUUGAAAACAUUGAACUAUGUUCAUUGAUCUGUGUAUCUAUUGGCCAUGUACACUUAUGUUUAUCUUGACUGCUCCCUCUUAUAGUAUUUGUUAAUUUGUCCCCCCGCUCUGUUCUCUGUUAGCCUUUUGUUUUUCUAUGUUUCUCCUUUUGUCCUCUGUCUGUUCUCCUCCUCCGUGGUUCCCUGCAUGAGUCCUGACCCAUGAAGUUUUGCCAGCCCUGUUUUG